rnacentral:rRNA from 1 species
GAUGAACGCUGGCGGCGUGCCUAAUACAUGCAAGUCGAGCGAACAGACGAGAAGCUUGCUCCUCUGAUGUUAGCGGCGGACGGGUGAGUAACACGUGGAUAACCUACCUAUAAGACUGGGAUAACUUCGGGAAACCGGAGCUAAUACCGGAUAAUAUUUUGAACCGCAUGGUUCAAAAGUGAAAGACGGUCUUGCUGUCACUUAUAGAUGGAUCCGCGCUGCAUUAGCUAGUUGGUAAGGUAACGGCUUACCAAGGCAACGAUGCAUAGCCGACCUGAGAGGGUGGUCGGCCACACUGGAACUGAGACACGGUCCAGACUCCUACGGGAGGCAGCAGUAGGGAAUCUUCCGCAAUGGGCGAAAGCCUGACGGAGCAACGCCGCAUGAGUGAUGAAGGUCUUCGGAUCGUAAAACUCUGUUAUUAGGGAAGAACAUAUGUGUAAGUAACUGUGCACAUCUUGACGGUACCUAAUCAGGAAGCCACGGCUAACUACGUG